UCAGAUUGAUUGCUGCUUCUUACUUGCAUUUUUCAUAUUUAAAGUACAUUCUAGUUAAAAAUUUAAAAUUACAAAUUUCAUAUUUAAAUGUUGAUCUCAUCCAUCAAUGAUGAAUAUGCUUCAACUUUUUCUGUGUAUGGAUUUUGUGAAUAAGCACUACAGAAUAAUACAAGUUAAUUUAAAGUAUAUUAUUGUUUAUUUUAUUUGGAUUUUUAUUAUUAUUAUGAUUAUUAUUUGUAUUUUUUUUAUUUUUUUUGCCACCCCCCCCAUAAUCCCACGCCCAAACAUAAUGCAACACGGUGACAUCGCGCUAUUGCGCCAUUUUGCGACUACUUGGCGGUCUUUUUUGGAUCGGCAGGCAUCAGUUUAUCAGGCGGCCUGCGGUGCACUUACAGCUCAAACUGUGAAGCCAUAUUGUUGUAAGGUUGAUGAAAAAUGAGGUCAUGGCCUGUUUCAGUAUGAAGUGGGGGAAGGAAGCUUGCUUUCACCAAGAUCAAUCUGUACACUGUUGUCACAG